CCUACGGGUGGCAGCAGUGGGGAAUAAUGCACAAUGGGGGAAACCCUGAUGCAGCGACGCCGCGUGAGGGAAGAAGGAUUUCGGUAUGUAAAGCUCUAGCAGCAGGGAAGAAAAUGACGGUACCUGAAUAAGAAGCCGCGGCGAACGUCGUGCCAGCAGCCGCGGUAAUGCGUAGUUGGCAAGCGUUAGCCGGAAUGACUGGGCGUAAAGGGUGCGUAGGGGGUUUCGGAAGUGGGCGGUGUAAUUCCGGGGCUCACCCUCGGCGCGACCCCCCAAACUCUUAGACUAGAGUGCAGGAGGGGUAAGUGGAAUUCCUGGUGUAGCGGUGAAAUGCGUAGAUAUUAGGAGGAACAUCCGUGGCGAAGGCGACUUCCUGGACUGUAACUGACACUGAGGCACGAAAGCGUGGGGAGCGAACAGGAUUAGAUACCCUUGUAGUC
rnacentral:rRNA from 1 species